UACGUAGGUGGCAAGCGUUGUCCGGAUUUAUUGGGCGUAAAGAGCGCGCAGGCGGUCGUGUAAGUCCCGUGUGAAAGCCCCCGGCUCAACUGGGGAGGGUCACGCGAUACUGCUCGACUUGAAGGCAGGAGAGGGAAGUGGAAUUCCCGGUGUAGUGGUGAAAUGCGUAGAUAUCGGGAGGAACACCAGUGGCGAAGGCGACUUCCUGGCCUGUUCUUGACGCUGAGGCGCGAAAGCUAGGGUAGCAAACGGG
rnacentral:rRNA from 1 species